rnacentral:rRNA from 1 species
UACCUCUUGCAUAAUGGGUCUGUGACUUAAUGUUUCAAGCAAGCUUAAGCCGAUAGGUGUAGGCGCAGCGAAAGCGAGUCUGAAUAGGGCGACUUAGUUUGAAGUAUUAGACCCGAAACCCGGCGAUCUAUGCAUGACCAGGAUGAAGGUGCGGUAACACGCACUGGAGGUCCGAACCGAUUAACGUUGAAAAGUUACCGGAUGAGUUGUGCUUAGGGGUGAAAGGCCAAUCAAGCCGGGAAAUAGCUGGUUCUCCGCGAAAACUAUUGAGGUAGUGCCUCGAGCGGACACCAUAGGGGGUAGAGCACUGGAUGGUUGCGGGGGUCGCGAGAUCUACCAAUACUAACCAAACUCCGAAUACCUAUGAGUGAUACUCGGGAGACAGACGGCGGGUGCUAAGGUCCGUCGUCAAAAGGGAAACAGCCCUGACCUACAGCUAAGGUCCCCAAGUCGUGUCUAAGUGGGAAAGCAUGUGGAAAUCCCAAAACAACCAGGAGGUUGGCUUAGAAGCAGCCAUCCUUUAAAGAAAGCGUAACAGCUCACUGGUCUAAACAAGGGUUUCUGCGGCGAAGAUGUAACGGGGCUCAAGACACGCACCGAAGCUUAGGGUGUGCACUUUGUGCACGCGGUAGCGGAGCGUUCCGUAAGCCUGUGAAGCGAUCUGGUAAUGGGUCGUGGAGGUAUCGGAAGUGCGAAUGCAGACAUGAGUAGCGAUAAAGAGGGUGAGAUGCCCUCUCGCCGAAAGACCAAGGGUUCCUGCGCAAGGCUAAUCCGCGCAGGGUGAGCCGGCCCCUAAGACGAGCCCGAAGGGGGUAGUCGAUGGGAACCACGUUAAUAUUCGUGGGCCUGGUGGUGUGUGACGGAUGGUGUGUGUUGUCUGACCUUAUCGGAUUGGUCAGGCUUCGAAACUGUCCCGGGAAAUAGCCCCACCGUAUAGAUCGUACCCGAAACCGACACAGGUGGAUUAGUAGAGUAUAUCUAGGCGCUUGAGAGAAUGAUGUUGAAGGAACUCGGCAAAAUGCCUCUGUAACUUUGGAAUAAAGAGGACCUUUUUUUGGGCAACCGUAAAAAGGUGGCACAAGCCAGGGAGAAGCGACUGUUUAUCAAAAACACAGGACUCUGCUAACACGUAAGUGGAUGUAUAGGGUCUGACGCCUGCCCGGUGCUGGAAGGUUAAUGCGAUGGGUGCAAGCUCAUUUCUGAAGCCCCAGUGAACGGCGGCCGUAACUAUAACGGUCCUAAGGUAGCGAAAUUCCUUGUCGGGUAAGUUCCGACCUGCAUGAAUGGCGUAACGAUUUCUCCGCUGUCUCCAACAUCAACUCAGUGAAAUUGAAUUCUCCGUGAAGAUGCGGAGUUCCCGUGGUUAGACGGAAAGACCCCGUGCACCUUUACUGCAACUUUACAUUGGU